CCCACGUAAACGCGCACAAAUGUUUAACAUUCCAGAGAAGAAGACGGCACAGUUAGCCUACUUUCAGCAGCGUCUGCAUCCGACAAGAUUCAACCAAGGAGAGCUGGAACAGCCACCUGAUUCGUCCAUCAAGGAACGAACAUGUUCCCCAUGGUCGGCCUGAUGCCAUGUAUGCUAUCCCAGAACUAUAUAACACAGAGGACUAUCUUUGCCAGGUGUCUGAGGAAUAUUGCAUCAGGUGUGAUUCUGACUGCAUCCACCGCAGUGACAUUGCUUGUGAUGAAGAUGUGUUCACCCUCUGCACCUACCUAAUGGCCCAAAACAACCUCCAUGUUCCUGUGGAUGCAUACAUGGCCAUUGACCUCUACCUUUCCCUGAGAGAAGAACUGACUACAAUAUUAAACAUUGAUAGGUAGUAGCAGAGGCAUUUCAAAAGUAGUCUAACCAAGUCCUCACUUACUGAAAUGCAUUAUGUGAGCUACACAAGGCACAACAUUGGUGGGCUCUUCUGGCCUUAGGAGAUUAGAGCGGACACAGUCUCCAGACACCCUAAUGACUGAUGUAGAUCAUCACACACACACACACACACACUCACACACUGAGCAAAACAUACGCUGAUCAAAACAUAUGCUGAUAAAAGCUACAGGGUCUAACAAUCCUGAAUUUAGUGAGAUCAACACAAGUAGGGUAGAGAGGGUGGAGUUUUAAGUAGAUUUUCAAAUGCAGCAACAAUUUUUACUUAAUAAAUACACUUAGUUUGUACUUGUAUAUCUCUUGUUGUUCUUGAAUUCUUUUCUGGCCUUCAGAUAGUUCUGUCACACCUACCAGACCAAGAGGCUUCCCUUUCUUAGAAGAGUAUCAGUAACCUGCUUUAAGUAUUUCUUGGUGCUCCCACGGACAAUAUACUGGUUUACAAAAUGUGCACAUUUUUUAAAAUGUUUAUUAGUCUGUAUUUAGAUUGCACAGAUUAGUCCAAAUACAGUGGACUUCACUGCAUAGACCCUGAAUUUCAUAUUGUUAUUGCAUCUGCAUUUAGAGGUAUUCUGUUUGUAAAUUCAUCACUUCUAUAUCCUCCAGGAUAUGAUUAUAAUUACUCUGUGUAUUGAUAAGACUAUGAUGCUGUCCAUGGUGCUGAAAUGUUAGUAAUUGCAAAUUUUUUAUUAGUCCCUCUUUGCUGUCAGCUUCAUUGUGGAUAUAUAUUUUCUAAACUAUAUAUGAAUGAACUCAAUUCUAUACUGUACUGUAGCUGUAGUAAAGUUUAUACAGUAGUGUCACCUUUAUUAUCAGAGUGGCAAGUAGCAACAUUAUGUGGCGGAAGAGUGGCAUGAUCAUUGUCACACUGUGGCCUGUAGGAUUAUGGUAAACUUGUAUGGAAAGGGUAUAUGAAUUACGAUAUCACCAUUUUUUGAAUGAUACAUGCAUUAAAAAUAAUGGGUUUAUUAAUUUAA